CAGAGGUCCCAUAUCAAAAAUAAAAGGUUCUUGGGGUGCUGAGGAAGGAGGAUCACUGCAUGUUCAAAGCUAGCCUGCACUACAUAAUAAAGAGAGUGGAGAUAUUUCUCUGAAGAUGUGACAUUUGAGCAGACCUGAUCGAAAUAAGGGUUGAACAAUGUGAGGCUGUGCUGGAAGACUAUUCCAGGAAAAAGAAAGAGCAAGUGGGAAUAACUGUGGAGAAACAGGACCUGAUUUGUGUUUUUAAAGAUCAAUCGCACCGUUUUAUGAAUACCUGCCGACCAUGGAGAGGCGAGACAGCAAGCAGGCCAGGUGAGGAAUAUGUAAUGAAGGCUUGGACAAGGAAGCAAAGGCAGUGGAGAAGGGCCAUCAGAAUCUGGAAACACUCUAAGGUUAAGCAUCCCUGACGUGAAAAUCUGAACUGCUUCAAAAUCUGUAACUUUGUGAGUGCUGACAUGACAAAUCCACAUCUGACCUCUUGACAGGCUACAGUCACAAUGCAGAUCUGGAAGCCACUGCACACAGUCUGAAGGAAGCUUUGCUAACCUGGGGGUGGGCUGUCAACAAAGACAAGAUAAUUGGGCCAUAUACUGCGGGCUGAUGCUCCGGUUACUGGCUUGAGUGACCCAGCAGUGACAGAUAGGGCACUGAUCCCAACAUACGGUGACAGCCCAAUGGAUUGCCUCUUGAAAGUGCAGCUGGCCUGUCUGCAUGUCCAACUCACAGAACAAGGUCCUAAGGGUCGACUCUAUGGGCUGCUGAUAAGACGUUACAUUCCCCUGACCUUUGAGGGUGUGGGAUGUUGGGAAUCACUUCUGACUGAUUCAAAGCCUGGAGCACCUGAGGAACCUUAAGGAUACAACCCACUGUCUAGCGCACGUGAACAACAGGAAAUACUUAUAGCUCUAAAGCUGGACUAUAAAGUCACAGAAGACGGUGAUGUGAAGAGACAGAUGGCUACAGUAAUAGCAUCAUUAUUCUGUAGCUUUGGGUGAAGUGGGUGCUGCAUAUGUUCCAUAAACUGUAAGGGGUAAAAGCCCACAUAGAUGUCUACAUAACAAAAAAGAAACACUACCAUCAGAGACUCUGAGUGACACAGGAAGAAAAUAUGCCAUGUCAGACAUCCAAAUCUAAGCAAAUCUAUUUCAUCUUUUAAAGGGAGAAGAGCUGUAGCUAUUAUUAUUAUUUUUGCAACAAAUAAUUAAUUCAGGAUACUAAAUUUGUUGAUAAGCAACAAAUAUAAUGUGUGCUUUUAAUAAUGAUGUUGCUUAAAUCAGACUCAUCUGCACUCUCUCUCAGGCUUCCUCUCCAAAAACAAUCCUGGAACAGAAAAGUGAUUUCAAACAAUUAUAAUGAUUACAAAGGAACUGUUAGCACCUGCUGCUGACUUUUGGCAGUCAUCAGUCAAUGAAGGACUCAGAAUAUUUGUUAACAACAACC
rnacentral:lncRNA from 1 species